UACGUAGGAGACGAGCGUUGUCCGGAGUUACUGGGCGUAAAGGGUGCGCAGGCGGCCCUGCGCGUCGCGAGUGAAAUCUCCCGGCUCAACUGGGAGGGUGGUCGCGAGACGGCAGGGCUUGAGGCUCGGUGAGGGGCGUGGAAUUCCGGGUGGAGCGGUGAAAUGCGUAGAUAUCAAGUGGAACACCAGUGGCGAAGGCGAGUCUCUGGACAUUUCCUGACGCUGAGGCACGAAAGCCAGGGGAGCAAACGGG
rnacentral:rRNA from 1 species